GGACCUUCGGGCUUUUCGCGUCAGGAUAUGCCUAGGUGGGAUUAGCUAGUUGGUGAGGUAAUGGUUCACCAAGGGGACGAUCCCUAGCUGGUCUGAGAGGAUGAUCAGCCACACUGGAACUGAGACACGGUCCAGACUCCUACGGGAGGCAGCAGUGGGGAAUAUUGCACAAUGGGCGCAAGCCUGAUGCAGCCAUGCCGCGUGUGUGAAGAAGGCCUUCGGGUUGUAAAGCACUUUCAGUCGUGAGGAAGGUAGUGUAGUUAAUAGCUGCAUUAUUUGACGUUAGCGACAGAAGAAGCACCGGCUAACUCCGUGCCAGCAGCCGCGGUAAUACGGAGGGUGCGAGCGUUAAUCGGAAUUACUGGGCGUAAAGCGCAUGCAGGUGGUUUGUUAAGUCAGAUGUGAAAGCCCGGGGCUCAACCUCGGAAUAGCAUUUGAAACUGGCAGACUAGAGUACUGUAGAGGGGGGUAGAAUUUCAGGUGUAGCGGUGAAAUGCGUAGAGAUCUGAAGGAAUACCGGUGGCGAAGGCGGCCCCCUGGACAGAUACUGACACUCAGAUGCGAAAGCGUGGGGAGCAAACAGGAUUAGAUACCCUGGUAGUCCACGCCGUAAACGAUGUCUACUUGGAGGUUGUGGCCUUGAGCCGUGGCUUUCGGAGCUAACGCGUUAAGUAGACCGCCUGGGGAGUACGGUCGCAAGAUUAAAACUCAAAUGAAUUGACGGGGGCCCGCACAAGCGGUGGAGCAUGUGGUUUAAUUCGAUGCAACGCGAAGAACCUUACCUACUCUUGACAUCCAGAGAACUUUCCAGAGAUGGAUUGGUGCCUUCGGGAACUCUGAGACAGGUGCUGCAUGGCUGUCGUCAGCUCGUGUUGUGAAAUGUUGGGUUAAGUCCCGCAACGAGCGCAACCCUUAUCCUUGUUUGCCAGCGAGUAAUGUCGGGAACUCCAGGGAGACUGCCGGUGAUAAACCGGAGGAAGGUGGGGACGACGUCAAGUCAUCAUGGCCCUUACGAGUAGGGCUACACACGUGCUACAAUGGCGCAUACAGAGGGCAGCAAGCUAGCGAUAGUGAGCGAAUCCCAAAAAGUGCGUCGUAGUCCGGAUUGGAGUCUGCAACUCGACUCCAUGAAGUCGGAAUCGCUAGUAAUCGUG
rnacentral:rRNA from 1 species